rnacentral:rRNA from 1 species
CAGAAUCCGGUUGAUCCUGCCGGACCUGACUGCUAUCGGAUUGAUACUAAGCCAUGCGAGUCAUUGUAGCAAUACAAGGCAUACGGCUCAGUAACGCGUAGUCAACCUACCCUAUGGACGGAAAUAACCUCGGGAAACUGAGAAUAAUAUCCGAUAGAACAUUAUGCCUGGAAUGGUUUAUGUUCCAAAUGAUUUAUCGCCGUAGGAUGGGACUGCGGCCUAUCAGUUUGUUGGUGAGGUAAUGGCCCACCAAGACUAUUACAGGUACGGGCUCUGAGAGGAGUAGCCCGGAGAUGGGUACUGAGACACGGACCCAGGCCCUAUGGGGCGCAGCAGGCGAGAAAACUUUGCAAUGUGCGAAAGCACGACAAGGUUAAUCCGAGUGAUUUCUGCUAAAGAAAUCUUUUGUUAGUCCUAGAAACACUAACGAAUAAGGGGUGGGCAAGUUCUGGUGUCAGCCGCCGCGGUAAAACCAGCACCUCAAGUGGUCAGGAUGAUUAUUGGGCCUAAAGCAUCCGUAGCCGGCUUUGUAAGUCCUCGGUUAAAUCUGUACGCUUAACGUACAGGCUGCCGGGAAUACUGCAUAGCUAGGGAGUGGGAGAGGUAGACGGUACUCGGUAGGAAGGGGUAAAAUCCUUUGAUCUAUUGAUGACCACCUGUGGCGAAGGCGGUCUACCAGAACACGUCCGACGGUGAGGGAUGAAAGCUGGGGGAGCAAACCGGAUUAGAUACCCGGGUAGUCCCAGCUGUAAACUAUGCAAACUCAGUGAUGCAUUGGCUUGUGGCCAAUGCAGUGCUGCAGGGAAGCCGUUAAGUUUGCCGCCUGGGAAGUACGUACGCAAGUAUGAAACUUAAAGGAAUUGGCGGGGGAGCACCACAAGGGGUGAAGCCUGCGGUUCAAUUGGAGUCAACGCCAGAAAUCUUACCCGGAGAGACAGCAGAAUGAAGGUCAAGCUGAAGACUUUACCAGACAAGCUGAGAGGUGGUGCAUGGCCGUCGCCAGCUCGUGCCGUGAGAUGUCCUGUUAAGUCAGGUAACGAGCGAGAUCCCUGCCUCUAG